AGAUUGAACGCUGGCGGCAUGCCUAACACAUGCAAGUCGAACGGGAGUAGCAAUACUCUAGUGGCGGACGGGUGAGGAAUACGUAGGAAUUUGCCCUUAAGUGGGGGAUAACCCGGGGAAACCCGGAUUAAUACCGCAUGACCUCGAAAGAGCAAAGUGGGGGGAUCGCAAGACCCUCACGCUUUUUGGGAGAACGUCCUACGGUCGGUAUUAGGCUAGUUGGUGAGGUAAUGGCUCACCAAGGGCGACGAUCCCGUAACGUGGUCUGAGAGGAAUGAUCAGUACACCACCGGUAACUAGUGGACACGGUCCGGACCGUUCCACGGGGACGGCAGGCAGGUGGGGAAUAUGGUACAAGUGGCGG
rnacentral:rRNA from 1 species